rnacentral:rRNA from 1 species
AGCGAACGCUGGCGGCAGGCUUAACACAUGCAAGUCGAACGCCCCGCAAGGGGAGUGGCAGACGGGUGGGUAACACGUGGGAACGUACCCUUUGGUUCGGAAUAACUUGGAGAAACUCAAGCUAAUACCGGAUAAGCCCUUAUGGGGAAAGGUUUACUGCCGAAGGAUCGGCCCGCGUCUGAUUAGCUAGUUGGUGAGGUAAUGGCUCACCAAGGCGACGAUCAGUAGCUGGUCUGAGAGGAUGAUCAGCCACACUGGGACUGAGACACGGCCCAGACUCCUACGGGAGGCAGCAGUGGGGAAUAUUGGACAAUGGGGGCAACCCUGAUCCAGCCAUGCCGCGUGAGUGAUGAAGGCCUUAGGGUUGUAAAGCUCUUUUACCCGGGACGAUAAUGACUGUACCGGGAGAAUAAGCCCCGGCUAACUUCGUGCCAGCCGCCGCGUAAAAC